rnacentral:rRNA from 1 species
GAGUCUAACAUGUGCGCGAGUCAUUGGGACACGCAAACCUAAAGGCGAAAUGAAAGUAAAGGUCAGCCUUGCGCUGACCGAGGGAGGAUGGGCCGCGUCACGAUGCGGCCCCGCACUCCCGGGGCGUCUCGUUCUCAUUGCGAGAAGAGGCGCACCCAGAGCGUACACGUUGGGACCCGAAAGAUGGUGAACUAUGCCUGGUCAGGACGAAGUCAGGGGAAACCCUGAUGGAGGUCCGUAGCGAUUCUGACGUGCAAAUCGAUCGUCGGAACUGGGUAUAGGGGCGAAAGACUAAUCGAACCAUCUAGUAGCUGGUUCCCUCCGAAGUUUCCCUCAGGAUAGCUGGCACUCGCGUACAAAACGUACACGAGUCUCAUCCGGUAAAGCGAAUGAUUAGAGGCCUUGGGGCCGAAACGACCUCAACCUAUUCUCAAACUUUAAAUGGGUGAGAUCUCUGGCUUGCUUGAACUAUGAAGCCACGAGAUUUCGGAU